rnacentral:lncRNA from 1 species
UAUUUCUCUCCUUUGGCAAGAGAAGAAACGUUUUGAUUUGUACUAAAACAUUCUUAAAAAUAAUGGCAGGACUCGUUUAAGAACAACAAAAGCAGCAUCUAAGAUACUGAAACACAACAUCAAAGUUUUAGUGUAACUCACGACAUGAAAACCAUCACAAAAACAAAAGUAAACAAAACAAAGGAACCAUCAUCUUCAUUAUCCAAGCUGUGAUCCACCUUGUGAACCAAGCUGUGACCCUCCUUCC